AAGGCAGCGGAGACGUCCCCUGAAAGAGCGGAGUCGACUCUCUCAGAGAAUUUUAGAAGACAUGUUUUUCGGAGUUAUAACGACGGAGUCGUCCCCAAGGCAGCGGAGUCGUCCCCAUGCAAAAAGUGCAAACAAGCCGAGACGUCCCUGUAAAGCGCCGAGGCGACCCUCUCAGAAAAACAGAAAAACAAGGAUUCAAAC
rnacentral:lncRNA from 1 species